rnacentral:rRNA from 1 species
AUGAACCAGCCGAAUCAAUCUUCUUCCAGUAACUCUCCUGAUGGAGAACGAAGAGCUUGGUCAGCUAUUUGGUCUUGUAAUGCUCCACCAAAGACCCGCAUUUUUGCUUGGCGUGCUGCAAACAACUCACUUCCGACUUGGGAUCUGAAGCAUGCUAGGAAGCUGGAGGUUGUGGAUUUAUGUCCAGUUUGUGGCACUGAAAAAGAAGACACGUUUCAUGCUUUGUGUCGAUGUCCCAAUGCCAGGAAUCUUUGGCUUGCAAUGGCUGAUAUUUGGCCUAUCCCCGAUCUUAAAGACAUGAUGAACACAGGCCCGGAAUGGCUUCUCCAUGCCAUGUGCAAAUUGCCUGAUGAGCAGCGCCUGCACCUGGUUAUGCUCUUAUGGAGAAUUUGGUACGUUCGAAAUGAGGUAGUACAUGAUAAACCAGCACCGCCAGUUCAGAUUUCUGUACGCUUUCUUAGAAGCUAUGUUCAGUCCAUUUUGACAAUCACCAAAGAGCCAGAGAUAGACCCCUUGAAGGGGAAAUCUGCUAUGCUAGAUUGUUCUUUUUCUGUUGCACCUGCGGCUACGUCUGAACUGGUAAUUCCACCAGCUGUGUGGCUGAGCCCUGAAGAAGGACGAUUGAAACUCAAUACAGAUGGCUCCUUUGUUUCAGCGGACGGUACUGCUGGCAGCGGCAUGAUCUUGCGUGAUCACAACGGUAAUAUAGUCCUCAGUGCUUGUCGUCAUCUGUAUCAUUGCCUCAAUGCUUUAGAGUCUGAACUUGCAGCCAUCAGAGAGGGUCUGUCACUUGCUUUACAAUGGAGCGAGCUACCUAUAGACAUUGAGUCUGAUUGCUUGGAGGCUAUCAAUCUGUUGAAGAAGGGAGAAAUGGAUAGAUCUGCGAACAGUUUCAUGGUUCAUGAAAUCAAAAUACUCAUGGAUCAACGAAAUUCUUGUAUUACUCACAUUUAUCAUAGUCAAAACACUGUAAGCCAUUUGUUGGCAUCUUUUGAUAGAACUACGGGUCGUACCAUGGUGUGGCUCGGAUCUGGACCUGAUGAGGUCGUCAAACUGUGUAAUUCUGCUAGUAGCCCGGCUACGUGA